GGAGGAGCGGCCCCUUCAAAAGUGAGCUGGGUGCUCGGGCUGUGCCCCCACCACGCUUCUCCCGCACAGCCCUGGUGCCAGCCCUGCGUAGCCCCAUGCCCCUGGCUACGUCCACAUUGAGCCAGGCUGGCUCAGCACGGACAGUGGAUGAAGGUUUACCACACACCCCUCUUCCCCCCUUUGCAUGGCAGGGACAUGAGCAGCCAUGGGGGCAGAGUCCAGUGUGCUGCACUCAGGUGAGUGCAGGGCCUACGGGGGGGUGGGGGGGGGCAGCUUGUGGCUGGUGGACUCCAGGUUACAGAGGGUUUAUUGGGCCCUUCACAUGUGCUUUUGGGUGAGCCAUGAGGUGCCGGUUGCAGCAUUUCUGGUUCAUGUCUUUGUGUGCUGUUCCUACAACCAUUGCAGCUCCUGGUGCUGCAGGAAAAUCCCCCCAGGAUUUGGGGACUGAGCCCUGUGUCAGGAGGGGAGAGGCUCCCUUGGUGCCAGCAGUGUGCUUCUGGAGACUGCAUGAAAUAGGGACACGUGCAUGGUGCUUCCUCUUGGUGCAGGAUGGAGGGAAGGGUAGCAUUUGGCUGCUCCUGGGAGUGUUUGGACAUGCAGGUGAGGGGUGCAAAUGACACUGAGGUGCCAGCAGCAGGACGGGAAAGGACGUCAAGGUAUGAGGUAUGAAACUGCAUGGUUUCUUGUUAGAAGCAGGACACAUUUCUGUGUGAGGGAGAGUUCUGAAUUACAUUUCCCACUUUUUGGAGUAGAUUUGAAGAGGAAGUUGGGACUCAUAGGACAAGACGGAGUAGAAGUUUUCAAUGAAGCAGGGCUAGGCAGGGGGGUGUCCAGCUUGGGCUUUCUUUCAGUUAUAUGACAAAAGCAAGGAGAAAAUCAGCAUACAGAGGGCUGCAGUGUUGUUAGCAUGACAGGGUGGCAUGGAUGGUGGUGGUGGGAACACAUGUUGGUUUUAUUCUUCCUGCAGUUGUUUGGAGACCGUCCUCACUGCAUUACUUCAGGGUCUGUCUCACUUAGAUCCUCUCCAAAGCUGGGACAACUGCAGUACCUGUCAUACAGUUUCCAGGAGCUUUCCUUAGGACAUGGAAGUUGCUUACCACACCAUCCAGUAACUGCUGCCCAAAGACAGCUGGAAGCCCAGGCUGAGGUGGCAAGACACCUCACAGUCACUCUAGAGUGGGAGGGAGAGGGCAUCACCUCCUGCCUGCCACCUCCUGGGCAGGGACAAAGGUGUUGGAAAAGCUGUUGCCCUGUGCUGCUGUUGCACAGGUAACAAGGGGUAAGUAAUUUAUGUGCCACUGAUAAGGCUCCCUCUUUGAACGUAAGACCCCUUGGAACAUGGAGCAUGGCCUCAUUGGCAGCAAUAGCUCUCUUAGCCUGGAGUUGCUCCCUGCAGCAGAGCAUGCAGCCAUGGAACAGUUUUGGCACCUGCCACUGAGGAGCAGGAGUUAUUCAUUAAAUGGCUGCACCAUUUGUCCUCUUGCUCUGUUUUUGUAUUGUUAACUGUCUCAUCCAAAUCAGCAGAGGUGCUACAGGGAACUGUUCUUGGGUAUAUGGCCUGGCUUGCCUGAGAUGAAGCAAGCCUAUCAGGCUUUGCUGGAGCCUGCCUGAUAGAUGAGAUCAACCUUACUGAGCCAAAUAUUUCACUGUUUGUCAGGCAAAACUCCCAGCAGGGUCAGCUGAAGGUCUGGGAGCAUAGGAAGGUCCUAUAUGGAACAGGACGGCAUUCAGUGGAAGUCUGCCAUGAGCAAAGCCUCCUUUGAGUUUGACUUUGUUAUAACAAAGGCUUCCAGCUCCUAGAAGAAGCAUAGCCCAAGGUUACUGAUGGCCAGGGGUUCAGCAGACCCUGUUGCCACAGAUAUGUGGGUAUUCUUGCUUUCAACCCAAGCUGCAAUUUGAGUUUCACUAAGUGGAAAAGAUGACUUUGAUUCCAAUUCAAUCGUACAUAUUAGGUGCAUGUCUUGAAACAGCUGCAGCCUGCAUCUUGGGGUGCUGCUACUCGGGAAGUGAAAACCAUGCAGCCACAUUUGUAUGCAUGCUGUUAUUAGGUUUAGAGUCAGGCCUGUCCAAUAAUUUUACUUUUCAUUUAUUUUCUUCAGAAGUUGCAGAGCAGUCUGACAGCCCUGUGAAAAUAUCUGGGAGAUGACAUGCAGCUUGGAGGGGAACUUUCUGUGACUUCGAUAAGGGAUUGACUGAAGGAUGCAGGAAGAAGAACGCUUUUUGUUUUCCCCUCAGAGUAUGAGUUGAUUGCUCAAUCUGUUUCAUAACACUGAGUUUUUACUUGAAAAUACCCACUUCAGCUUGAAACCAGAAGAUCUAACAGUGACAAAUCCAUUCAGAUCAGAUACUGUCAUUAUGAGGUGGGGUAACAAGCUCCAUUCCCAUCUGCUGAUAGAAUUAUCUCCGCUGUGUCCUGUCCUCUUAUCUGUCACUCACAGCAACAUUUCAAGUGGCUGUUUUCCCCUUCAGAAAGCCACAAUGGGGGAUUAUUUUAAGCUGCAAUUGCAGAAGCAAUGCUCUUUUCUUCUUCCCUACACCCCCCCCCCCCCCCCCCCCCCGCCUCAGGACCAGAUAUUCCACUGUUAGAAUUCAGCAAUGAAGUUGAGGGGAGUCUGGUCACUGAUCCCUGCUGAAGAGCCCACUCAGUCUUUCUUCAUGUGGCCACUUUGAUAUGGCCGAGAGUCUUUUGGGGGAUGACAGGUUCAUUUUUCUUUUCUGACACUGUUCUCAUUAAUGUGCAGUGUCUAACUCUCACUGAAAAUCUUUUCCAGGUAGAGAAAGUGCAUCCCUGCUUUAUUAACAUCAGCAACAACUAUGCAAACCAGUCAGAGCCUGUUAAAAAAGCCUUUACUUCUCAUGGUACAGCAGCGUUUGAUGCGGAAGGAGAGUUAUUUGACCAACUGCACUGACAGACCAACUUGAGACAAGGACCCAGGCAUCUUUAUGACUGGCCUGUUGCUAAACCCCACAAAUGAGAGUAUUUUGGAUUAAGAAAUGUUAACCCAUAGCCUUGGCUACAUUAAAACAUUUGCACAAGGAUGACAAAAUGCUGGGAAGGCCCAGGUCCCUGAAAACAGCUUAGCACCCCUACCAUGCUGCUUCAUACUUCUGAGUAUCACUAGUGGUUCAAGAGGUUGAGAGGGAUAACAGAAAUUUGGUCUAAUUGUGCUUAAAUCAGUAUGUCUUUUGCUAGGCUGAUCUUAAGUCAGCUUGUUAACAAUGUUUUCUUAUGCUCAUGAUACACACAUACUUCUUUUAUCCAUUGCAACAUACUUUUAUCUACCAUGGUUGAAAUUCACUCUGAAUUAGAGGCCAGAACAAAGAACUGUUCACUAUCUACAUCUCACUAAAGGCCUAAGGUGGAAGGCAGGGGGAAUGUAAGAAUUGCAAAGCCUUUGUAGUAACCUGGGCUAGAAACUGAUUUUAUCUUUAAAGCUGUAGUUGUUCCCUUGCUGUUAAGUCUUACUUCACUCUACUGGUUUCAGAGCAGGUAUAAAUAGUACAUAUUUGGCAUUACCAUUUUUUAAUUUGUGCUUUUAAUUUGAUACCUGGAAAGGUAUCUUUCAUGUAAUAUUAAAUCAGAUCCUGUGAUCGUCUUUAUAAAAUAGUGUCCCAGAAGUUAGAGAUAGAAAAGGGUUAAUAAAUUGCCCACUGUAUGAUGCUGUUAAUACACUUCAGCUGAAUUCUACUUUUGUGUCUUUAAUGGACUACCUUCCAAAAUACAGUUAACAUGUCACUUUUAGGUUUUCACUUUGAAACUAAAAAUAGCACAGCUACUUUCUCACAAACUGGUGCUGCUGGUCAUGUGAAAUUAAAACAAGGUGACUGGGAAGGAAGCUAAAAGCUUAAAACUCAGCUAUGUUUGGGCCCAGCUGCAGAGAACAGGAAUGACAUUAAAAUAGUGUUAUGAAGGUGUGAGCCAUGACUACCUUUUCAGGGAGAGUUUUAUGGUAUCAGAUCAGAAAAAAAGUAUUUUAUCCUUUUAAACUGAAAUUCUGAAUGGUUGACAUCUGAGAAGGACACAGAGCACACCAGAACUUAGCAAAAUCUUCUCUUAUGUAUCUUUUGUUACUUAAUUUUCUUUAAGUGCAUUUCUGCACUAAUGCACACUGACAUUAGUAGAAUAGACCAACCAAUGGCAUCUUUUGGUCCUUGUGCAAAACAAUAGUGUGUGUGUAUGCUCACCCUUAAAGUCUGGAUUAUGUCAGUGUAUGGGAGUGGAAAGUUCCACUUACUGCAGGAGGCUUUUUCUGUCUGCUGGAAAUGAAUCAGAAGAGGGGUAGUUUGAGAACAGAAGAAAAGGUUUCACUUCAUUCCUGAAGUUCAUUGUUUCUCUACGUGGAGUUUAGUUUUGAUUUAGCAUCACAAUCCAUACAGGGGCUCUGCCUGACAGAGGAGCUUCCUGCUGGCAGGCAGAGAUGGGGACUGAAGUUUGCGGGGACAGGAGGCUGCUAUGGCUGCUUUCCCUUGCAAAACUGAACACACAUGGCACUGGGCUUUGACCCAGUGGUGGUGGCUGACCUUGCCUCCAACAGAGUCAAUGGCAUUGCUGGCACACAUGUAGGGGUUCAGAGUUGUACAGUUUAGACAGGCUUGAAGAGGUGUCUCUUCAGAUCUUAUGUGUAGUUAAAGAUAUUGAUUUUUAACUAUAUCAGUGCUACAGUAAGAGGUAAACCCCUGAGCCUGUUCCUGCCAAUAGAAAUUUUGGCUUUGACAUACAGGGAGCCACUAACCUGUGUCAGAUACAGAGGCUCCUUCCCAUGUUCUUUGGGAUCUGUGUUACAACAGAAAUAUUCACAUAUCUAGAAUUAGGCAUUUAGCUGACAUACCUUACAAUACAAGGACACUCAGGCGUGUGUGACUGCUUAAAUGCAAAAUUACCACAGGGAUCCCAAAAGAAGGAAUGAAAAGUGAGAAGCCUGAACAACUUGUUUAAAUUUAGGAGGUUAAAAAUAGAAGCUGUGAAAAGUCUGUUAAAUUAUCAUGCCCUUAUCUCUGGCCAAUGCAAAAUUGUUCCCCCUCAGUAUGUUUUCUGGGUCUUUGUCUAGACUUUGUGUGUCUAGAGAGACAUUGGUCUUCAGAACGUUGUACCCAAAAGGCAUGGCUGAGUGUUUGCCAUGGGUAUUUUGUCAAUAUUUCAAGCUACCAGUAUAGCCAUAUAGCUAAGGGAGAAGGUUACUCUGGAACUCUCAGUAUUGUUUUCAGCUCCACAGUGCUUCAGCCUUUGCAUUAAUAUAGUGGAUGUUUUCCUCAGCAGAAGGCAGUGUCUAUUUGUGUAGUUCUCUCUCACACAAAGGAAAAUGUUAGAGGGGGAAAUACAGGAGGGAUAAUGGUGUUUUUUGCUAACUGGAAAAAUUCUCUGAAGCUAACAGCAGUUUCAGCCCUUCUUUUCCCUCUUCUUUUGCCAAGGAUGGCACCCAGAGAAGACCUCUGCAACACCCACCGAGUGCAGUGCAGCACUGCGUGUAUUUGACAAGCUGAGUUUGACACUCAGUGUGCAGAGUGUCAGUUUGUCAAAUACCCCAAGUGAGGCAUUUGCUGAGCAACACAGCGGCACACCAAGGUGACUGGCUCCAGGUACCCAGCAAGGUACUGAACAACCCAUCCCAUCGUUACUGGAUGCUUGACUCUGAUCCUGAGCUGUCAGGUUUCCCUUCUACCCCAGUUUCGGAAGUGCCUAUUGGGAUACUCCUUCUUAACAGCAAAUCUGUACCACCAACAGAAGUGGUGCUGGUACAGUUCCUCCACACUGCGAAGGCAGAGAAUUGGGCCCUGGCUCCUUCUUCGCAGCCAAAACCAGUGCUGUUCUCUUCCACAGCAUUAACUAGCCAGCUGCUCAUUUACAGUCCUGCUCAGUUAACAAGGAUUCUGGCAACUCUAAUCGCAACAUCGUGGGUAAGGGCAGGGUUAUCCAUGAUACAGAAUCUUUUAUUUGGACAUGAAGGAAUCUUAUUUUAUUUGCAAUUGGAGUUCAAACUAAUGAGGCUGCUGGUUAACUUCCUUUUAUCCCAUUAGCCAGUGAAGAGCAUGUUUGUGCAGUCUCUUUUUAAGUUAGACCAUGCAAUCCAUCACUUCUCAAAGCACUGAUGUUUGCAGAAGAUUCCUUGUUUUUGAAUUGUAAUUCCUAAACAGCACUUGUAGCAAGAUUGCCUAUUGCUUUUUUUUUUCCAUUUCUUCUGUUUAGUUAAAGUAAUUCCCUCUUGAAGAUCUAAUGAUUGGUAAACAUUUUUAGUAACUGACUUGCAGCAAAUCAGAUGUCCAGCUAGAGUUGUCUCAGGGUGGAAGGAAUGAUAUAGCGUGGGAAGGCCCAGCCCAGUUUGACAAAUCAAACUCUCUGAAAGCAUUCAACAUUGAAAACUUGGGAACUAAGAAAACCCCAAGACCCUACAGACUUGUUUUGGGACAGUACCAUCAGCUAAUUCUGCAAUAUUUGAGAAUAUUGGCAAAUUUUAAUGUUAAGCUUUGGGGCUUUUUGUUGCAACUAUUUCUAACAAAAUAUUUUGAAGAAGUUGGAGUUUGGGCAAAGCUGGGACCAAUGAAUGCAUAUCAUUGCCUAAGCAAA